UACGUAGGGUGCGAGCGUUAAUCGGAAUUACUGGGCGUAAAGCGUGCGCAGGCGGUUUUGUAAGUCAGAUGUGAAAUCCCCGGGCUUAACCUGGGAACUGCGUUUGAAACUACAAGGCUAGAGUGUGGCAGAGGGGGGUGGAAUUCCAGGUGUAGCAGUGAAAUGCGUAGAGAUCUGGAGGAACACCGAUGGCGAAGGCAGCCCCCUGGGCUAACACUGACGCUCAUGCACGAAAGCGUGGGGAGCAAACAGG
rnacentral:rRNA from 1 species